AUUGAACGCUGGCGGCAUGCCUUACACAUGCAAGUCGAACGGCAGCACGGGGGCAACCCUGGUGGCGAGUGGCGAACGGGUGAGUAAUAUAUCGGAACGUGCCCUGGAGUGGGGGAUAACUAGUCGAAAGACUAGCUAAUACCGCAUACGAUCUACGGAUGAAAGUGGGGGAUCGCAAGACCUCAUGCUCGUGGAGCGGCCGAUAUCUGAUUAGCUAGUUGGUAGGGUAAAAGCCUACCAAGGCAUCGAUCAGUAGCUGGUCUGAGAGGACGACCAGCCACACUGGGACUGAGACACGGCCCAGACUCCUACGGGAGGCAGCAGUGGGGAAUUUUGGACAAUGGGGGCAACCCUGAUCCAGCAAUGCCGCGUGAGUGGAGAAGGCCUUCGGGUUGUAAAGCUCUUUUGUCAGGGAAGAAACGGUCCGGGCUAAUAUCCUGGGCUAAUGACGGUACCUGAAGAAUAAGCACCGGCUAACUACGUGCCAGCAGCCGCGGUAAUACGUAGGGUGCAAGCGUUAAUCGGAAUUACUGGGCGUAAAGCGUGCGCAGGCGGUUGUGCAAGACAGAUGUGAAAUCCCCGGGCUUAACCUGGGAAUUGCAUUUGUGACUGCACGGCUAGAGUGUGUCAGAGGGGGGUAGAAUUCCACGUGUAGCAGUGAAAUGCGUAGAGAUGUGGAGGAAUACCGAUGGCGAAGGCAGCCCCCUGGGAUAACACUGACGCUCAUGCACGAAAGCGUGGGGAGCAAACAGG
rnacentral:rRNA from 1 species